GAUUCAAGCCACUGACUGAGAACCACUACGAUUGGUCAACCGCAUAAAUCCGUGGGUGGAUAACGGAACUUCAUACCCGGAUUCAAGCCACUAUAAAUCUUGCUGGAGACAUGUGUUCGCUACCCAGGCUCUGACAACAGACAAGAUACGACGAUCAACAAACCUUGGUUUGAAAGUUCCAGAUACCUGCAGCAACAUGAGCGUUCAACCAGAAAUAAAAGUUGUCUUGUACAGCAAUACCAACCUCACUGGCGACUGUGUACCAGUCUCUGCAGACAUACCCGAUUUGACAAUCUUUAAGAACAGGGCUCAGUCAGCCAUUGUAAUCCAUGGAAGAUGGGAGCUGAAAAGCGCUGCGGGAAAUACAUACCCUCUUGACGAGACAGUCGGAAAGUAUACUGACUUAGGUACUUUCAAACAACAGGCCGUGUCCAUCACCCGUGUAUAAGGCGCCGUUGACAUGAAGGAGACCCUCCCGACAAAAGGACAUACCAGCCACCUGCAUUUCUGCAUUUUCCUCUGCACUUUCCUGUACUCUUAAUUUUCCUUUACUCCAGAUUAUUAUGCUUUUAAUGUCUAACGUUUAGCUAUGCUUAAGUGGGUUUGCUUGAGGUGGGGAUAGGAAUCGACGUAGGUUGUAAGGGUGUGGUUAUGACAGUGUUCAGAGACACAGGGUGUACUCUCACUGCCUCUUUUGGACAGUUUUGUAAGUCAAAAAUCACGAAUGGUCAUACUACCUACAGAUAAACUCGACAGAGCAAUUACAUCAUCUCAAUCCCAACAAUGUUGUCUUUAAUUUCACAGUAAAAUGAUUAUUAAAAAAAACGAUGCAGAAAAUUAUUGCUCCUUUCUAUUCUGUAGUGCUCGGUGUAAUGUUAACUUUUCCACCUGUGCGCUUUGCUUCACAUAUACUAUGAUUCGUUUUGAACAAUGAAAGCUAAAAAGAUGAAGGUCAUAUUGCGUUGUUGAAAUUAAGUCUUAAAUUGAAGAAGUUGUAUUGAUAUUUGAACAUGCGUAGAGCAAAAUUAGAAGCAGUCCAUUUUAAAGCGCUCGCUACUCUUUUGAUGAUGAAUUUUCUGCCCUCAGUGUUGUACAUUAUGUUAUUUGACACUAUACAGAGUAAAGAAAUAAUAGACAAAAGUGGGGAAAAUUGUGAUUCCUUUCGUUGUUGAAAAUAAACAUUUGAUGAAAUUU